AGGUACUUGCAAGAUCAAGAUCACAUUUGAGAAAACAACUGUGAAGACAUCGGGAAACUUAGCGCAGAUUCCUCCGUUUGAGAUCCCGAGGCUUCCCGAUAGUUUCAGGCCACCGUCUAACCCUGGAACUGGAGAUUUUGAAGUCACCUAUGUUGAUGAGAACAUGCGCAUAACUCGUGGGGAUAGAGGUGAACUUAGGGUCUUUGUCAUUGCUUAAGUCAAAAGGAGGUUUGACAUGUAAAGAUCAAGUACUUUCUGCUUGUUGCAGCAGCCUUAUGACCCCUAUGAGUUUUGUACACAUCGUUUGAACGUUGAUUAUAGAUGUAUUUUAUAAUGAAGUGAAUGUCAGUCGCUCGAUCUCCUCCUCGCCGGUGCUCAUCGCUACCCCCAGAUCGUCUCGUUUGAGCUUCACAAUACCUGAGAGGAGAAGCCUCGUCGUGAACUCAACCGUCGGCGAGGUGUCCUUUCGCGAACCGGAGACAUCGGGAGAUAAGGAGGGAAUCGAAUCGCUGAAACUCAAAUUACUGGUGAGUCAAAGAAGACGUAAUCUUUAGAUUGGAAGAAUCUGAUGUGUGGUUUUUGUGGUGUGGCAGAGCGUGGUUUCAGGUUUGAACAGAGGACUUGUGGCGAGUGUAGAUGAUCUACAAAGAGCUGAGGCCGCUGCUAAACUACUUGAAGCCGCUGGUGGGCCUGUGGAUCUAACCAAUGAUCUUGACAAACUUCAAGGGAAGUGGAGGCUGCUGUAUAGCAGCGCCUUCUCUUCUCGCUCUUUGGGUGGUAGCCGUCCUGGACUCCCCACUGGUCGCUUGAUUCCCGUCACUCUUGGCCAGGUAUUAUGCUCUUUGAGUCUAUCAUCAUGAGCCAAGACUCUAGCUUUUUGUUUAUGUCACCUGCCUCGAGUAGAAAGCCAUGUUUUUUUAUUACUUAGGAGCUUUUGUGGAUUGCCUGAUCUAUCAUUAGUACUUUUGGUUGAAGCUUGAGUUCUGAUGAGCAAAGACUCUAGCUUUUUGGUAAUCUCACCUUCCUUGAGUAGAAAGAGAGUUUUUUUUUGUAAUACAUAUAGUCUCUAUUGAAAACUGUAGGUGUUUCAGAGGAUUGAUGUGUUUAGCAAAGAUUUCGAUAACAUUGCCGAAGUGGAGUUAGGAGCUCCUUGGCCGUUUCCUCCUCUGGAAGCCACUGCAACACUGGCACACAAAUUCGAACUCUUAGGUUUGUGUCUUCCUUCCUCUCUGGCUUUAUGUUUACUUGCAUUGUAUAUAGUAGAUUAGUGAUGUGUUAAGACUCUUGAUGGGAGAACAGGUACUUGCAAGAUCAAGAUCACAUUUGAGAAAACAACUGUGAAGACAUCGGGAAACUUAGCGCAGAUUCCUCCGUUUGAGAUCCCGAGGCUUCCCGAUAGUUUCAGGCCACCGUCUAACCCUGGAACUGGAGAUUUUGAAGUCACCUAUGUUGAUGAGAACAUGCGCAUAACUCGUGGGGAUAGAGGUGAACUUAGGGUCUUUGUCAUUGCUUAAGUCAAAAGGAGGUUUGACAUGUAAAGAUCAAGUACUUUCUGCUUGUUGCAGCAGCCUUAUGACCCCUAUGAGUUUUGUAC
rnacentral:lncRNA from 1 species